UACAGAGGUGGCAAGCGUUGUUCGGAAUUACUGGGCGUAAAGAGCUCGUAGGCGGUUUGUCGCGUCUGCUGUGAAAACCUAAGGCUCAACCUUGGGCUUGCAGUGGGUACGGGCAGACUAGAGUGCGGUAGGGGUGACUGGAAUUCCUGGUGUAGCGGUGGAAUGCGCAGAUAUCAGGAGGAACACCGAUGGCGAAGGCAGGUCACUGGGCCGCAACUGACGCUGAGGAGCGAAAGCAUGGGGAGCGAACAGG
rnacentral:rRNA from 1 species